CCUGCCCCUAGAAGGACUACAGAUGUGGCUGUUGUGUCACAUGUAUGUAGGUGGCAGAGAGGAAAGCGGCCAUGUGCAUACUCCGUGUUUUUGACCUAUGAACAUUUGAAUUAUUAAUAGCCUAACAUU